AGUACCAUUGCCUUCCGAUAUCCAUCCGAAGGUACUCAUAUUGGUGCUCGUUGUGUAAGGUCUGCGGAUCCAAGAGAGAUUCAAGGGAAAGGGCAAUAAACAUACAAGCUCAAAGGA